AAAACAUCGCCUCCUGCAAUAUAACCAAGUAUAGGAGGUCCAGCCUGCCCAGUGACCACAAGUUCAACGGCCGCGGUAUUUUGACCGUGCAAAGGUAGCGCAAUCACUUGUCUUUUAAAUAGAGACCUGUAUGAAUGGCUAAACGAGGGCUUAACUGUCUCCCUUUUCAAGUCAGUGAAAUUGAUCUACCCGUGCAGAAGCGGGUAUAACAAUACAAGACGAGAAGACCCUUUGGAGCUUAAGGUACAAAACUCAACCACGUCAAGCAACUUAAUAAAAAGCAAAAACUCUGUGAAACAUGAAAUUUUACCUUCGGUUGGGGCGACCACGGAGGAAAAAGAAGCCUCCAAGUGGACUGGGGCAAACCCCUAAAACUAAGAGAGACAUCUCUAAGCCACAGAACAUCUGACCAAACAUGAUCCGGCCACCAGGACCGAUCAACGAACCAAGUUACCCUAGGGAUAACAGCGCAAUCCCCUCCCAGAGUCCAUAUCGACGAGGGGGUUUACGACCUCGAUGUUGGAUCAGGACAUCCUAAUGGUGCAGCCGCUAUUAAGGGUUCGUUUGUUCAACGAUUAAAGUCCUACGUGA
rnacentral:rRNA from 1 species